rnacentral:rRNA from 1 species
UACGAAGGGGGCUAGCGUUGCUCGGAAUGACUGGGCGUAAAGGGCGCGUAGGCGGAUGGCACAGUCAGAUGUGAAAAUUCCCGGGCUUAACCUGGGGGGCUGCAUUUUGAUACGUGUUGUCUUGAGUUCGGAAGAGGGUCGUGGAAUUCCCAGUGUAGAGGUGAAAUUCGUAGAUAUUGGGAAGAACACCGGUGGCGAAGGCGGCGACCUGGUCCGACACUGACGCUGAGGCGCGAAAGCGUGGGAGCAAACAGG